GAUGAACGCUGGCGGCGUGCCUAAUACAUGCAAGUCGAGCGAACAGACGAGGAGCUUGCUCCUCUGACGUUAGCGGCGGACGGGUGAGUAACGCGUGGAUAACCUACCUAUAAGACUGGGAUAACUUCGGGAAACCGGAGCUAAUACCGGAUAAUAUAUUGCACCGCAUGGUUCAAUAGUGAAAGACGGUUUUGCUGUCACUUAUAGAUGGAUCUGCGCCGCAUUAGCUAGUUGGUGAGGUAACGGCUUAUCAAGGCAACGAUGCGUAGCCGACCUGAGAGGGUGAUCGGCCACACGGGAGCUUAAACGCGGUCCAGACUCCUACGGGAGGCAGCAGUAGGGAAUCUUCCGCAAUGGGCGAAAGCCUGACGGAGCAACGCCGCGUGAGUGAUGAAGGUCUUCGGAGCGUAAAACUCUGUUAUUAGGGAAGAACAAAUGUGUAAGUAACUAUGCACGUCUUGACGGUACCUAAUAAGAAAGCCACGGCUAACUACGUG
rnacentral:rRNA from 1 species